UCCAUCUUUUUUUCCUUCUGUUUAAUAAUAUAUUAUAACCACUUGCUGAUUGUUCGUUUCCUAACUUCUGUAAGUUUUCUUAACUGAUCUUCACUUCUUUUUUUUUCUCUCUCUCUAAAGGUUUGCUUCAAGACUUCCUAAAUUAACUUCUGUUUUGAUUUUGGAAUGGAAAAUUUGGAUGCGCCAACUUUGGAUGUGGCUACAGACUUGCUUGAGCAGAUGAAUGACCUCAAACUGGAACUCAAAAAGAAGGUAAGGAAGGGCUCCCUUGUUUCUUGUUUUACUGGUUCUUUUUGUUGUAUGUAUUUGGUGACUCAGUGACCUCAAACUGGAACUCAAAAAGAAGGUAAGAAGUUCUCAUGCCCCAAACUUUUUUCAUUGUAUCCACAACCGGUGCUGUGGAUGUCUUAGCACAGAUGAAAAUGCUUGGGUGGCAUGGGAGGUUGAAAGUAAAAGAUGGCCUGCAUCAUUGUUUGAGGGAAACGAUUGAGUUAAUGCUGGGGAGACUAAGGCUUUACUAUAGUUAACUGAAUUCCUUUCCAAGGCCGCAGUCGAUUUCGCCAAUGGUGGCUAUUCCCUUAAUUAUGGCAAUGUCAUGUUUUUAACUUUAAGAACUAAGAUUUGAUGUUUGGACCGCUUGGUAAUUUGGUUUUGUAUGCUAAUAGUCGGCGCACCAUAUGACUCCAUUCCUCCUUGUUACAUUGAUUCUAGCAAUGUCAUGUUUUUAACUUUAAGAAUUAUAUAUGAUUUGAUGCUUGGUAA